rnacentral:misc_RNA from 1 species
CUAAAUUGUGCGCUUCUUUAUUCUUCUGAUCAAAUUCAGUAUUUACUACUUUUGAUGGCCACUCUUUUUGUUUCACUCGUUCUGCUGAUGCAUACGCUGUUUAUUUCAGUAGUUACUAUUUCUGUCUACUCCUGUAGGCCUUUCUUUAUAUGGUGCUUUUUAAGUUCAUUUCUAUUUGAUUAUUCGUAUUCCCUUGACUUAGAGGCUGUUAGUUUCGUGAUUAUGGGCUGAUUAGGAUAUUCGAAAUGUUGAAUGUUCACUGCUUUGUGGUUGCGGCAAUGAUAAUAU